GACGAACCGUGCGAACGUUGUUCGGAAUCACUGGGCUUAAAGGGCGCGUAGGCGGGCCGCCGCGUCCGGGGUGAAAGCCUCCCGCUUAACGGGAGAACGGCCCCGGAUACGGGCGGUCUGGAGUGAGGGAGGGGUCCGCGGAACGCUCGGUGGAGCGGUGAAAUGCGUUGAUAUCGAGCGGAACUCCGGUGGCGAAGGCGGCGGACUGGGCCUCAACUGACGCUGAGGCGCGAAAGCCAGGGGAGCGAACGGGG
rnacentral:rRNA from 1 species